rnacentral:rRNA from 2 species
UGCAGUCGAGCGGACAGAUGGGAGCUUGCUCCCUGAUGUUAGCGGCGGACGGGUGAGUAACACGUGGGUAACCUGCCUGUAAGACUGGGAUAACUCCGGGAAACCGGGGCUAAUACCGGAUGGUUGUUUGAACCGCAUGGUUCAAACAUAAAAGGUGGCUUCGGCUACCACUUACAGAUGGACCCGCGGCGCAUUAGCUAGUUGGUGAGGUAACGGCUCACCAAGGCAACGAUGCGUAGCCGACCUGAGAGGGUGAUCGGCCACACUGGGACUGAGACACGGCCCAGACUCCUACGGGAGGCAGCAGUAGGGAAUCUUCCGCAAUGGACGAAAGUCUGACGGAGCAACGCCGCGUGAGUGAUGAAGGUUUUCGGAUCGUAAAGCUCUGUUGUUAGGGAAGAACAAGUACCGUUCGAAUAGGGCGGUACCUUGACGGUACCUAACCAGAAAGCCACGGCUAACUACGUGCCAGCAGCCGCGGUAAUACGUAGGUGGCAAGCGUUGUCCGGAAUUAUUGGGCGUAAAGGGCUCGCAGGCGGUUUCUUAAGUCUGAUGUGAAAGCCCCCGGCUCAACCGGGGAGGGUCAUUGGAAACUGGGGAACUUGAGUGCAGAAGAGGAGAGUGGAAUUCCACGUGUAGCGGUGAAAUGCGUAGAGAUGUGGAGGAACACCAGUGGCGAAAGGCGACUCUCUGGUCUGUAACUGACGCUGAGGAGCGAAAGCGUGGGGAGC